AUUGAACGCUGGCGGCAUGCCUUACACAUGCAAGUCGAACGGCAGCACGGGGGCAACCCUGGUGGCGAGUGGCGAACGGGUGAGUAAUGCAUCGGAACGUGCCCAGUAGUGGGGGAUCGCCCGGCGAAAGCCGGAUUAAUACCGCAUACGACCUACGGGUGAAAGCGGGGGACCGCAAGACCUCGCGCUAUUGGAGCGGCCGAUGUCAGAUUAGGUUGUUGGUGGGGUAAAGGCCUACCAAGCCUACGAUCUGUAGCUGGUCUGAGAGGACGACCAGCCACACUGGGACUGAGACACGGCCCAGACUCCUACGGGAGGCAGCAGUGGGGAAUUUUGGACAAUGGGGGCAACCCUGAUCCAGCCAUGCCGCGUGCGGGAAGAAGGCCUUCGGGUUGUAAACCGCCUUUGUCAGGGAAGAAAUGCUCUGGGCUAAUACCUCGGAGUGAUGACGGUACCUGAAGAAUAAGCACCGGCUAACUACGUGCCAGCCGCCGCGGUAACAC
rnacentral:rRNA from 1 species